rnacentral:rRNA from 1 species
UAGGGAAUCUUCGGCAAUGGGGGGAACCCUGACCGAGCAACGCCGCGUGAGUGAAGAAGGUUUUCGGAUCGUAAAGCUCUGUUGUAAGAGAAGAACGUUAGUGAGAGUGGAAAGCUCACUAAGUGACGGUAUCUUACCAGAAAGGGACGGCUAACUACGUGCCAGCAGCCGCGGUAAUACGUAGGUCCCGAGCGUUGUCCGGAUUUAUUGGGCGUAAAGCGAGCGCAGGCGGUUUCGUAAGUCUGAAGUUAAAGGCUGUGGCUUAACCAUAGUUUGCUUUGGAAACUGCGAGACUUGAGUGCAGAAGGGGAGAGUGGAAUUCCAUGUGUAGCGGUGAAAUGCGUAGAUAUAUGGAGGAACACCAGUGGCGAAAGCGGCUCUCUGGUCUGUAACUGACGCUGAGGCUCGAAAGCGUGGGGAGCAAACA